rfam:Salmo salar isolate Sally breed double haploid chromosome ssa20, whole genome shotgun sequence.
UACCUUACUUACUGUAAGUCACUCCGGAUAAGAGUGUCUGCUAAAUGACCAAAA